UGUGUGCCACCUACCUAUGCUUGUCUCUGUGCCCGGCGCACCUGGCGGGGUCCCGGCAGGAAGUGCAGCGGCGGCUGGGUGGCUGGACCGGACCAGAGCUCAGUGCUUUUGGGGAGCUGGUGCUGGAGGGCGCGUUCCGAGGAGGUGGAGGGGGUGGCCCCCGGCUACGAGGGGGUGAGCGGCUGCUCUUCCUGUUCUCUCGGAUGCUGCUGGUGGCCAAGCGCAGGGGGCUGGAGUACACCUACAAAGGCCACAUCUUCUGCUGCAACCUGAGCGUGAGCGAGAGUCCCCGAGACCCUCUAGGGUUCAAGGUGUCUGAUCUGACCAUUCCCAAGCACAGACACCUGCUCCAGGCUAAGAACCAAGAAGAGAAGAGGCUGUGGAUUCACUGUCUCCAGCGCCUCUUCUUUGAGAACCACCCCGCCUCCAUCCCUGCCAAGGCAAAGCAAGUUCUCCUUGAAAACAGCCUGCAUUGUGCCCCCAAAAGUAAGCCUGUCCCAGAACCCCUGACACCCCCACUUGGGUCUCCUCGACCUCGAGAUGCUAGAAGUUUUACCCCUGGGCGAAGGAACACAGCUCCAUCUCCUGGGCCCUCUGUGAUCCGCCGAGGCCGCAGGCAGUCUGGUGAGCACUCACCCCUAAGGGUGAUCCAGGCAUCGGGGUGGGAGCUGGGCUCCUGACAUCACUGUGUCCUCCCCGCAGAGCCGGUGAAGGACCCUUAUGUCAUGUUCCCACAGAACG
rnacentral:sRNA from 1 species